rnacentral:rRNA from 1 species
UACAGAGGUCUCAAGCGUUGUUCGGAUUCAUUGGGCGUAAAGGGUGCGUAGGCGGCGCGGUAAGUCGGGUGUGAAAUCUUGGAGCUUAACUCCGAAACUGCAUUCGAUACUGCCGUGCUUGAGGACUGGAGAGGAGACUGGAAUUUACGGUGUAGCGGUGAAAUGCGUAGAUAUCGUAAGGAAGACCAGUGGCGAAGGCGGGUCUCUGGACAGUUCCUGACGCUGAAGCACGAAGGCCAGGGGGAGCAAACGGGG